AGAUCAAAUCGUAGCCAUUGAUAGAUAUCGAUCUUGGUAUGACUAUAUAAGGCUUUCCCUCCAAAUCUCAAAGGAAGGUUCCCACAUUUUUAGAUUCUCUCUGUUUCUCUCUCUCUCUCAGCCAACCCUAUCUCCAACGCCUCACUAGCCAAUCGCCGCUCCACACCAACGAACCACUCAACUGCUGACAAUCUUCAGAGCCCUUCCUCGCCGGUCGCAAUAGUCAUCGGGGAAUGCUAUUACCAGAGCUCGCUGACUGAGCUCCAAGUUCUUCACGAGCCAAUCACCGUGCCUAGGGUCGAUAAUCUAUCCAACUAGUUCCGAUCGCCAAUGUGGCCAUCUAGUGGUGGUUCUCAGCAGUUCGAGUCUAGCGAUGGCGUUCCUUGACGUGUCCUCAAGUUCGUAAAGGUGGUUGCCUAGCUGCAUUGCGCUUGAGUUCGAAGAUAACAGGGUAAUGUCCUCCUAAGCUUGAAUUUGAUGAAGCAAGACCGCUUUAGGCGAUCCUGGCUAGGAUUCAACCCCUAGGUGGCUAUUAUAUGUCUAGAAUGAUGAUUUGGAUGAGUUGUGAUGAUUAAUGAUUGAUUGAUCGUUUGAUGUUGCAUAAAUACCGAUUCUAGAAAUUCGUAGGCUUAUUUUGAUUGCUUUACUUCACAUCUUGAUCUAAGCUGGUAGAUCGCCUUAUUUGACUUCAAGGUCUUCUAUUGAUUUGAAGUAGACUUCUUGAGCUUUUCAUAGACAUUAUAUGCUUGAUUUGGCAAUCGUUUGCCCUGUCAUACGUCUGUUGCAAAAUCGAAGUCGUGACGUUCACUGCUUGUUGAUUUUUCAUGAUUUUUUGUGUUAAUAUCUUCUAGUCGGUGUCUUCACGAAAUUUAUCAGAAUACAUAGAUAUAGAAUAUAUAAAUUUUUCAUGAAAAAUGAAGCUCAUUCGGUAGGGCCGAUCGUCCAUAAAUUGUCCGUGCUGCAUUCUGGAAAAUCGUUUUUCUGACUAACUUGUAUCCGUUCUUCAUUUUUUUUAUAAAAUCUCUUGACGAGAAUCUGAAAGUGAUGCCUACAUGAAACUUGUUCAAGACAUCUCAAUCUACAAAAUAUAAAAUUUUCAUGAAACUUGAAAGUGAUUGAAUGGGCUCGAUUGGCAAUAAAUCGUCCAUGUUACCUUCUAUGAAAUAGGUUUUCCUAAUUGAGAUGCGUCGGUUCUCUGAUUUUUAUAAAAUCAUGCAUUUAGAAUCUGGAUUCGAUGUAUUCAUGAAAGUUGUAUUCAAUCUUUAAGAUCUAUAUGCUGUAAAAUUUUUAUGAAAAACAGACGUCAUUAGUAGACAUGAUUAGCCUUGCAUUGCACAAUUUACUAUUUGUAAAAGUGCUGUUUCAAAAUGACCUCUGUAGAUUCUGCGAUUUUUGUAAAAUCAUGUUAUGGUAAAUAGAAGUCGACGUCUUAAUGAGUUCUGCUCCUCAUAUCAUGGUCUGUGUUUUGUAAAAUUGUUAAGUCGAAUGAAACUCAUUAGUUUGAUGAGAACUGCCUUGUACUGAUUGUUUUUGUCUGAAAGUUUGCUGUUCCAGAAUGACCUUCGUGUGUUCAUCGAUUUUUAUAAAAUCGUGUGUUCUGAAUCUGACAAUAAGGUCUCCGUGAGAAAUGCUUGUGAUAUGUUGAACUUUGUUGUCGGAAAGCUUCAGAAAAUAAAAAAUAAAUUUGCUAUUUUUCAUGAGUGCUACAAAGUUGCAGGGAUUCUGAAAACUCUAUUUUCCGGAACUGAUCAUCGGUCACUUUUGAAUUUUUAUAAAUUCUUGUUAUGUGAAUUUUACGAAAGUUGAAAGUGAUGGUUUCCGCUUUCUUUUGAUACUUUGUUGAAAAUGAUGCACAUUUGAUCGUUCAAGGGAUCUGAUCAGUGUGCCGACUUAUUCACACCCGGAUUCUAGAAUUUAUUUCCGAAGAACAUUAAACUUGUUUCAAAAUUUCAACAAAGUCUAUGUCCUUGUUUGUCAUCAUUCAAAACAUGAAAAUUUUCUUUUAAGGACUUGUUUGCAAUUAUACAAAACUUGUGUCCUUAGUUGCAAAUUCUCAAAGUUCGACCUUUGAAUUGCUUUGUUUGUGUUCUAUUUGAUUGAACGUGUUGCUUACACAUUUGAACAAUCACAGUUGUCUUGAAUGAAUAAGUGACCCUCCUUGAUUCACUUCCUUUGCUUGAUUGUUUAAGAACCAAGGCCUCAUGGCCUAAAUGCACACCUUCCCCGUUAUACAUGUGAUUUCUAGAUGUAUGGUUUAGGGUCGGUGCAUGUUUGCGGGGAAACCAAAGGGACAUACUUAGACCCUGAUUUAGGAGUCAUUCAAUCUAGACCACCGCAUAUGAACAUAAGGGAUGACCAAGUAUUGAUGACUAAAAUCAAUCAAUUAGUGGUCAUAGGUUUGCUCCAUAUGCAUGAACCUCAAAGGUCAACCUCGAGGCCUGUGUUUUGUAUCAUGAGUUGCUUGAACUUGUUUGGGUUCAUAUGAUUGUGUUUGAUUGUGUUUGGUUACAUUGUGUGCAUGAUAUGAUUUUGAAUGCUAGUUUGGCAUUAGCUUAGGAUUAGAAUAGUCCAAAAAGGCAAUCCCUGGAGGAGGUGGCCAAAUAGAUUUAAAAAUGGCAAUAUGGUCGAUGUCGGCCAAAUAGAUUUAAAAAUGGCAAUAUGGUCGAUGUCCAAUCUGACCUUUGUCCAUUUUGUACUCAUUCAUUCCUUGAUAUAUAUCUCAGGUUUUCAAUUUGUACUGUACAAACAUCCCCCUAGUUGCGGGUAUUCUUCCUAUCACACUUAGUGUAGCUUUUAUAUGCUUACCUUGAGUGUUUACUUUCCCGUACUGCAAUUUCGAUUAUUUGAUUGCUUUCCUUUUCAUUUUUUAUAGUUAGUGCAGAAUAGCACGAACAAACCAUCCAUGAAUGAUCACCUCUUUCAUUUUCUUAAACUUGCACAUAAACAAAAUAAAAAUAAAAAAUUGCUUAACCACCUUAGAUAACAACUCAACUCUAUACUUUGUCACGACCUCUUUGGACCCUCUCACAGACACGUUGAGGCUAAUGACUUUGCUAAGCCUAGGCUUAGUCUGAGCUCUCCCAAGGCCACCAAUUCACGACUUAUGGUUUGAGUUUUUAACAUGCAAGUCAUUUUCAUUUAGGAGUUGUUAGUAAUCAUUUUGUGAUGGGUCAAUUAGAAACCCAAAUAAAAUAUCAAGAAAAAUACUUUACUCCUACACAACCAAAGAAAUUAGGAUCGGAGACUUUGAUUACACUAGUUAAUCAACUAAUGCCCUUCAAGUAUCUAAUUUUGUUCAAACAUCAAAUAAAGCAUUCAUGAAACAUUUUCAUACCAAUCACAAGUCCUAAGAUUCAAUUCUUAGCUAGACUAAGAAAAGGGCGUAAUUGGGAUAAAGGAAAUGCACAAACAGCAAUCUAACAUUUGCUUUCAAGAAUUUAAACAUGGUUUUUUUUUCUUUUAUGGAUUUUUCAAAUAUUUUAAGAAAAAAACCACUCAAAGACUAUUUUAAAGUUUUUUUUAUGAUUUUUAGAGAAAAUAAAUUUU
rnacentral:lncRNA from 1 species